GGCGGCAGACGAGCCGUAAAGAGGGGCUUUUUUUUUUUUAUAAAAUUCACGUUGAAGACGAUCGCCGUUCGCUUGCACUUACGUCGACUGUCGAAGGUGUAACCAUUCCCGAAAUGGAUGACCCGCUGGAAACCGUGGUUUAGGAAUAUCUUAAACUCCGCACAUCUGGGGUCGACCUCUGGACCGGAAAUAGUAAAUAAUGACGCUUCGCACGGAUGCCCACACGACCCGUUCGAAUGCUUCGUGUUCUGCAAAAGCAUGGAACACGAGUUCUUCUUUUGCGUGGGACUUCGCCAGCACUUGUGCUUGUGCAACACUGACACGCCGGCGCCACUUCCCUGCUGCACUCUCUCUCUCUUCUGCAUUUGUGUUGGCGGCCAAGCAUGAAGAUGAUCGCCUUUACUAUCACACUUCUAAUAAUUUCAGAUUAUCUGGGGCCUUGCUGCGCCGCAGGUGCCACUGUCUGUUCACGCGCUUUCAUGGUCAUCCGUAAAAGUUUCGGCUGCCCAUUUGGGUCCAAUGAAUGCUCAAAGUACUGCAAAGAGAAGAAGGCCCAGAAAGGUGGAUACUGCACCGGAAGAUUCAAAGAAAACUGCGUGUGCUUCAGAAAUUAAAUUUCACAUUAAGCGUCCUUGAA